AGGUAGUUGGUGAGGUAACGGCUCACCAAGCCGAUGACGGGUAGCUGGUCUGAGAGGAUGGUCAGCCAGAAGGGCACUGAGAUACGGGCCCUACUCCUACGGGAGGCAGCAGCAGGGAAUCUUGCGCAAUGGGCGAAAGCCUGACGCAGCGACGCCGCGUGGAGGAUGAAGGUCUUCGGAUUGUAAACUCCUUUUCUCGGGGAAGAAUAAUGACGGUACUCGAGGAAUAAGUCACGGCUAACUACGUGCCAGCAGCCGCGGUAAUACGUAGGUGGCUAACGUUAUCCGGAUUUACUGGGCGUAAAGAGGACGCGGGCGGCACUUCAAGUCGGAUGUGAUAUCUCCUGACCUAAUCAGGAUGGGUCAUUCGAUACUGGAGAGCUUGAGGGCAGCAGAGGGAGAUGGAAUUCCCGGUGUAGCGGUGAUAUGCGUAGAUAUCGGGAGGAACACCAGUGGCGAAGGCGGUCUCCUAGGCUGUUCCUGACGCUGAGGUCCGAAAGCGUGGGGAGCAAACCGGAUCAGAUACCCGGGUAGUCCACGCCCUAAACUGUGAAUACUAGGUAUGGGGGGUAUCGACCCUCUCCGUGCCGUAGCUAACGCUUUAAGUAUUCCGCCUGGGGACUACGGUCGCAAGACUAAAACUCAAAAGAAUUGACGGGGGCCCGCACAAGCAGCGGAGCGUGUGGUUUAAUUCGAUGCUACACGAAGAACCUCACCAGGGUUUAACAUGCUAGAAGUAGAGACCUGAAAGGGCGACGAACUGUUGAAUCAGUAGCUAGCACAGGUGCUGCAUGGUUGUCGUCAGCUCGUGCCGUGAGGUGUUGGGUUAAGUCCCUCAACGAGCGCAACCCUCGUCCCAUGUUGAAUUCUCAUGGGAGACUGCCCUGCAAAACGGGGAGGAAGGCGGGGAUGACGUCAAAUCAGCAUGGCCUUUAUGCCCUGGGCCACACACACGCUACAAUGGAUGGUACAAAGGGUUGCCAAGGUGCGAACCGGAGCUAAUCCCAAAAAACCAUCCCCAGUUCGGAUUGCAGGCUGUAACCCGCCUGCAUGAAGUCGGAGUUGCUAGUAACCGCAGGUCAGCAUACUGCGGUGAAUACGUUCCCGGGCCUUGUACACACCGCCCGUCACGUCAUGGGAGUCGGCUCCACCUGAAAUCGGCGCGCCAACCCGCAAGGGAAGUAGCCGCCCAGGGUAGGACCGGCGACUGGGACGAAGUCGUAACAAGGUAGCCGUACCGGAAGGUGCGGCUG
rnacentral:rRNA from 1 species